UUUUUUGAUAGAACAAUAACGUACAAAGCAAGAAGCAAAUUUUUUUAGUAUUAUUUUUCUGAUUUUAUUCUAUGUUAUGUGGAGAGUUUGGCAAAAUACAAACCAAAUAAUCUAUUUGCACUCCUUACAUUAUCUCUGUUUGAAGAAUUACUCAUUCAGUAAAAGUGUUGAAACGCAGCUAAAGAUGUCAAAAACAUUUACAAGCUAAAGAGAUCUCAGCUCAGAUAACUCCAUUUCAAGUAAUCUAAAUUCAUCCCCAUUAUCACCUAAGUGAGCAUUACGGCUGUUAGCAAACCCUACACAAAUAUUCAGAUUUUUGUUUUUCCUGUCAUGCUGAAGGUUAUCUCCCCAGUUGCUCUGAAAAAUCAGGUGACAACCAUUUCCCAUGAUGCUUUAAGGGCUGUCAAACUGUCCAUCAAACUGUCACCUGACCAAUCGUUCCCAUGGUUCUUUUAGACUUCGAGUAUGAUAAAUUGAAAGGCACUAUUAUCUGCCUGUUGUGAAGAGGAACUGCUUAGGCUUUGAUAAGAUAUCACUAGUCCCAGGUGAGAGGAGGCUGACAGCACAUCAAGACAAGAAAACACAUGGAAACAGUGAACACAGGAGCAAAAGGUUUACAAACAUCUGUUGUCAUUAUUUAUUACCCCUUUCCUUGGUUUUAGCUCUAUCCUUGUUCUAUGUCAGUUUAAAAAGAAAGACUUUCCUCUCUUCCCAGCCAGUCUUAACGGCUGCUAUUUUUAAACCAGUUAGUUGUAGAAUGAGAAAUAUUUAAAAUAUGAAUGAUAUCUUUAAUAAAAGGUUGCAUUAUCUACCUUUUCUGAUACAUGUUGCUUUUACCAUCAUUAUAUUUGAGGUUUUAUAUGAUUCUCAUGGUACAAUUAUGUCAUAAGAAAAUGAGAAACCCUGAAAGAUAUGAAGACUUUUUAAGCUCCACGGUUAUUUUUCAUUGAUACCUUGAGACCAAUUCAGGUCUCUUGCUGAUAUUACAGAUCUGUCCUUCUACAAGCACCCAAAGUUAGCUUAAGAUACCUCAGAGCAAAACCAACAUAUUGUUAUUUAUUGUGGGUUGUUAAUAAAAAGAAGCCAGUUGCUAAUAUCACCACCUUGUGUACAAAUAUUUGUUUGCAUGCAGUUUUUAAUGAUUUCAGCCAGUGCUGUAAUUUCAUUAGACAGCACUACAGAACUUCAGUUGCAAAAAAGAACAUUUAAAUAAUUUUAUCAUAAAGAAUAUUUUAAAUCUGAGCCCUUUAUGUUUGUUUAACUAUAUUCAUGUGCUUACCUGAGUUAAGAUUAACAGCAAGCUUCCAUACACUGUGGACAAAUCCUAUUCAUUCGAGUAAACAGUUAAAAAUCAGUAGAACACAAUUUCACCAGUGAUAAAUAUACCUCCAAAAGUACUAAUAAAGGUAAGAUUAAUAAUUUAAGUAUGUUCAAUUUCUAAACCCGCUUUUCCAUCAAAGACCGUUUUGAGAAACCACAGACUGUUACAUUUAGAGUGACUUCAAACUUCCUUAUAUUUUAAACAUACAUCUGAUUUUAAAAGCAGAAACUAAGUUCUUCCAUGGCUAUAAAGCACCCUGGCUCAAUAAGCAUGAUGAGAUACUCCAUUCAUAAGUCAGGUGAAAAAAGUUCAGGUAUAAGGCAUAUAAAUGCUAACCAAUGAACCUCAUAAUAUCAAGCUGAUUUAGAAAGCUGAUUUAGACAGGAUGGUUUCUUCUGUCCCUUUUCAGGUAGAAAAUCAGGGUUAGUGUCAAGUGUAGUAGCCAGAGAGGAAAACUAAGAAUGAAAUAACAGGGCAGUUUCACACUCUUAAAUGAAAAACUCUGCAAGAAAAUAUUAGCCUUGCUGAGCUAAAAUAUUCUCUCUGUUCUUGCUGAUCUGCUAACACACGCAGUGGUGCUCUCUGGGCACUUUUCAAAAAGAAAAGCACACGGUCCCUUUCUCCAGGUCAUUAUAAUGGAAUGACAUGGGAGUACUGAAAAGAGAGAGACAAUAUCCACUAAGAGUGGUUGAGAUGGUGGCUAUUUUGAUAAUCAUGUUAUAUUAAACCUGUUUCUUCUGUUUUCUCUAAUCUUCAAACGAAGAAGCAGGAGUGCAGGGAAAGAAGGGUCUUUUCACGUAAUAUUGGGAAAAAGAAAUUCAUGUAUAGAGACUGGGACAGAAGAAGCUGCACUCUGCAUAUGAGAAGCCCACAAAUGGGCAAAGAGGACAAUGGAUAGGGGAAGCAACUGGAUAUGACUGGGCAAGGCAGAGUCAUGCAGUACUCAGCACACAGACAGAAAGCUUGCGUGGUGUAGGGCAAUGCUGUGGAGAGUUUCAAAGAUAGACAGAACAACUGGAUGACCUUAAAAGUGGAUUUGCACAGAGAGGGAAGACUUGCGGUCAUGUGCUGAUAUGUCUAGGAAGCUUUACUGAGUAAGAAGUUAAAAGUCAAUGCAAUCCUCUCUACAGUAUUUUGGUACUACACUAAGUAAUGCUUUUAGGAUUUAUCCUGCAGUAACUGAGUUCUCUGACAGAAGCAGAAAGUCUUUCGCAAAGAGGACAUUUUAAAUUACUCAGAUAAUGUUAAAGUCAGCCUUAAAUUGUGGGAUUGUAGAAUACCACGGCCACUGGAAUUGUAUUUUUCUCCACUGAUUAAUUAGAGUUUGAGAACAUAAAGCAAAAAUAUGGUAUACACACCUCUAACGUCCUUCAUAUUAAUAAAUUAAUUAUGUUUACAGUGAAGAUUUAUUAAAGGAGAUAAUGCACAGUUCUUUCUUAGUA
ensembl:lncRNA